ACCUUCAGGCCUUGCCCUAUUCGAUCAGUCUAGGUCCGAUUAGCUAGUUGGUGAGGUAAUGGCUCACCCAGGCAACUAUCCGUAACUGGUCUGAUAGGAUGAUUAUAAACAGGAGAACUGACACCCGGUCCAGACUCCUACGGGAGGCAACAGUGGGGAAUAUUGGACAAUGGUCCAACGCCUGAUCCCCCCAUGCCGCGUGUGUGAGCAAGGUCUUCCGAUUGUAAAACACUUUAACUUGGGAGGAAGGGUUGUAGAUUAAUACUCUGCAAUUUUGACGUUACCGACAGAAUAAGCACCGGCUAACUCUGUGCCAGCAGCCGCGGUAAUACAGAGGGUGCAAGCGUUAAUCGGAAUUACUGGGCGUAAAGCGCGCGUAGGUGGUUCUUUAAGUUGGAUGUGAAAUCCCCGGGCUCAACCUGGGAACUGCAUCCAAAA
rnacentral:rRNA from 1 species